rnacentral:rRNA from 1 species
UACGAAGGGGGCUAGCGUUGCUCGGAAUUACUGGGCGUAAAGCGCACGUAGGCGGAUUGUUAAGUCGGGGGUGAAAUCCUGGAGCUCAACUCCAGAACUGCCUUCGAUACUGGCGAUCUCGAGUUCGGGAGAGGUGAGUGGAACUGCGAGUGUAGAGGUGAAAUUCGUAGAUAUUCGCAAGAACACCAGUGGCGAAGGCGGACUCGCUGGCCCG